rnacentral:rRNA from 1 species
CCCGCGUGGGGGAGCCUACCAUGCAGUCGAGCGGAAACAAAAGUACUUGCUACUCUGGCGUCGAGCGGCGGACGGGUGAGUAAUGCUUGGGAACAUGCCUUGAGGUGGGGGACAACAGUUGGAAACGACUGCUAAUACCGCAUAAUGUCUACGGACCAAAGGGGGCUUCGGCUCUCGCCUUUAUAUUGGCCCAAGUGGGAUUAGCUAGUUGGUGAGGUAAUGGCUCACCAAGGCGACGAUCCCUAUCUGGUUUGAGAGGAUGAUCACCCACACUGGGACUGAGACACGGCCCACACUCCUACGGGAGGCAGCAGUGGGGAAUAUUGCACAAUGGGCGCAAGCCUGAUGCACCCAUGCCGCGUGUGUGAAAAAGGCCUUCGGGUUGUAAAGCACUUUCACUCAGGAGGAAAGGUUAGUAGUUAAUACCUGCUAUCUGUGACGUUACUGACAGAAGAAGCACCGGCUAACUCCGUGCCAGCAGCCGCGGUAAUACAGAGGGUGCGAGCGUUAAUCGGAAUUACUGGGCGUAAAGCGUACGCAGGCGGUUUGUUAAGCGAGAUGUGAAAGCCCCGGGCUCAACCUGGGAACUGCAUUUCGAACUGGCAAACUAGAGUGUGAUAGAGGGUGGUAGAAUUUCAUGUGUAGCGGUGAAAUGCGUAGAGAUCUGAAAGAAUACCGAUGGCGAACGCAGCCACCUGGGUCAACACUGACGCUCAUGUACGAAAGCGUGGGGAGCAAACAAGAUUAUAUACCCUGGGUAGUCA